rnacentral:tRNA from 1 species
GAGCUUAUAGUUUAGUGGAUAAAAUAUAUGUUUCCGACACAUAAGAUCAUGGGUUCAAGUCCCAUUAAGCUCU